rnacentral:rRNA from 1 species
CUACGGGACGCUCCAGUGAGGAAUAUUGCACAAUGGGGGGAACCCUGAUGCAGCAACGCCGCGUGGAGGAUGACGCAUUUCGGUGUGUAAACUCCUUUUAUAUGUCAAGAAAAUGACGGUAGCAUAUGAAUAAGCACCGGCUAACUCCGUGCCAGCAGCCGCGGUAAUACGGAGGGUGCAAGCGUUACUCGGAAUCACUGAGCGUAAAGGACGCGUAGGCGGGUUGGAAAGUCAGGUGUGAAAUCCUACAGCUUAACUGUAGAACUGCACUUGAAACUUCUAAUCUAGAGUAUGGGAGGGGGAGAUGGAAUUAGUGGUGUAGGGGUAAAAUCCGUAGAUAUCACUAGGAAUACCUAAAGCGAAGGCGAUCUCCUGGAACAUUACUGACGCUAAGGCGUGAAAGCGUGGGGAGCAAACAGGAUUAGAUACCCCCGUAGUC